GGGUCUGUGUCUUCUGUCGCGCACGCCGGACCACAGAACACUGCAGCCAAUACGGAUCCAGGCCAAUUAAGCCCCUCACUCAGCCUCAUGUGAGAGAUCUGAGCAGGACGGGCCUGUGGGCUGCUGCCAUCUGCGCAUCCUUCCACCACUACUGCUACUGCUGCUGGGAUCAAACUAAUUGGACAGUUUACAAGUUGGAAAAUUAUGUGUCGAGGAGGAUGCAGUCCACAAGAGGCUGCUGUGUCACCGCAAAUGGAGGAUGAAGCUUAAGACUGAGGCUGGUUUUGGCUGAAAGAGCUCCAGUUCCAUGUUUCCAACUGUCCCUCUGACGACCACACCCUCUCCCAUCAUUAUUGAGCAUCAAUACCAGAUCUGACCUGUAACUUGUCCAAAUGGCACCUGCUAGUCUCCAUAAGUUUAUUGCCAUACUGUGAAACCUUCCAGGCAAAGCUACAUCAUCUCCAUGGAAACAAACAAAAUAAGCAGGUGACGGCAGCGGCCCCUCCACAAUGUAAGUUACAUAGUGUGCUUUACGUUAUAACAAGUACCAAAAGAACUAACUAGGCUCAAAACAACAAUAGAAAAGUGUAUCUUACUAAUUGGUGCGGCUGUGAA